UGGGGAAUAUUGGGCAAUGGAGGAAACUCUGACCCAGCAACGCCGCGUGGAGGAAGAAGGUUUUCGGAUCGUAAACUCCUGUCCUUGGAGACGAGUAGAAGACGGUAUCCAAGGAGGAAGCCCCGGCUAACUACGUGCCAGCAGCCGCGGUAAUACGUAGGGGGCAAGCGUUGUCCGGAAUAAUUGGGCGUAAAGGGCGCGUAGGCGGCUCGGUAAGUCUGGAGUGAAAGUCCUGCUUUUAAGGUGGGAAUUGCUUUGGAUACUGUCGGGCUUGAGUGCAGGAGAGGUUAGUGGAAUUCCCAGUGUAGCGGUGAAAUGCGUAGAGAUUGGGAGGAACACCAGUGGCGAAGGCGACUAACUGGACUGUAACUGACGCUGAGGCGCGAAAGUGUGGGGAGCAAACAGGAUUAGAUACCCUGGUAGUCCACACUGUAAACGAUGAAUGCUAGGUGUAGGGGGUAUCGACCCCUUCUGUGCCGCAGUCAACACAAUAAGCAUUCCGCCUGGGGAGUACGGCCGCAAGGUUGAAACUCAAAGGAAUUGACGGGGGCCCGCACAAGCAGCGGAGCAUGUGGUUUAAUUCGACGCAACGCGAAGAACCUUACCAGGUCUUGACAUCCACUUAAACUUACAGAGAUGUAAGGUGUGCUUGCACAAAGUGAGACAGGUGGUGCAUGGUUGUCGUCAGCUCGUGUCGUGAGAUGUUGGGUUAAGUCCCGCAACGAGCGCAACCCUUAUCUUCAGUUACUAACGCGUGAAGGUGAGGACUCUGAAGAGACUGCCGGGGACAACUCGGAGGAAGGUGGGGACGACGUCAAAUCAUCAUGCCCCUUAUGACCUGGGCUACACACGUGCUACAAUGGCCACGACAGAGAGAAGCGAAAUCGUAAGGUAGAGCGGAACUCAAAAAAGUGGUCCCAGUUCGGAUUGUGGGCUGCAACCCGCCCACAUGAAGUCGGAGUUGCUAGUAAUCGCGGAUCAGCAUGCCGCGGUGAAUACGUUCCC
rnacentral:rRNA from 1 species